CAGUAAUUAGUUUAAUUAAAAUAUAAUAUUUGGAUUAUUAAGUUUUUUUUACUGA
rnacentral:tRNA from 1 species